UACAGAGGGUGCAAGCGUUGCUCGGAUUUACUGGGCGUAAAGCGUACGCAGACGGUGAGAAAGGUCGGAUGUGAAGGCCCCAGGCUCAACCUGGGAACUGCAUCCGAAACCAUCUCGCUCGAGUGUGGGAGAGGGAAGCGGAAUUCCUGGUGUAGAGGUGAAAUUCGUAGAUAUCAGGAGGAACACCGGCGGCGAAGGCGGCUUCCUGGCCCAUUACUGACGUUCAGGUACGAAAGCGUGGGUAGCAAACAGG
rnacentral:rRNA from 1 species